rnacentral:ncRNA from 2 species
UUUAUAUAAUUAAACUUGACUUAUAUAAGUUCAUAAUUGGUUGAACGUUUCUACCAACUACCGUAAUAGUUGAUUAUAAGUUAAUUCUUUUGAUGG